AUGACGAGCCUCGCCGACACCUUGGCCUCUGUUGGUCAGCCGCUUCAGGACGAGGACUUCACCACCUUUGUGCUUAACGGGCUCGAUGAUGAUUAUGACAAUCUCAUUGAGAACGUCCAUGGUCGAGAGGAUACGCUCCCGCGUCGUGAGCUCUAUGCGCGCCUCCUUGGGCGUGAGCAGCGCAUCAAGGCGCACCGUGUUUCCCCCAGCUUCGUCUCCGCCAACGCCGCCACACGCGACAAACCUCAGAAGCCGGCCCCAUCAGGUGGCAAACCACCGGCUUCCUCGUCACAGGCCUCGCGGGGCAACGCGCCGACCAUCACUAGCGGGAGUCGUCGCCCAGUUGCUUGUUGUUCUAGUUGCGGUGCUCCUCAGGCCUGUCAGCUUUGUGGCAUAGAUCGUCACCUCGCCUCUCGCUGCCACAGACGCUACAAGCAAGACUUCCUUGUCCUUGGUAACAAUGGAAAAGGGAAUGAUAAGCAGGCUGCAGCUGCUGUGACGGGGCACGAGCACGGACGCACCCAGUCCUACUCUCUUGAUCCGGCGUGGUAUAUGGAUACAGGAGCGACGAAUCAUCUUACCAGUGAGAUGGGCAAGCUCUCCACUCAGGAACCAUAUCGUGGACAUGAUCAGGUGCACACCGCCAACGGAGCAGGUAUGCGCAUCUCCCAUGUUGGUCAGGCAUCACUUCUUGCACACAAUUUUCGCAAACUGCAUCUUUCUAGUGUCCUUCGAGUUCCCUCUGCUACACGUAGUUUGUUGUCUAUUCCUCAACUUACUCGUGAUAAUAAUGUCCUUGCUGAGUUUCACCCUUUUCGUUUCUUUAUCAAGGAUCGGGACACGAGGGCCGUUCUGCUUAGUGGUCGUCUUCGCCAUGGCUUGUAUGCACUUGACGCACCGCCUGCAUCUCCUACGCCGUCUUCUCCUCAGGUGUUCAGUGGUGUUCGUGUGUCGCCUACGCACUGGCAUGCGCGCCUUGGUCAUCCUACUGCUCCUAUAGUUAGUCAUGUGCUGCAUCGCCAUGAACUACCAGUUGUGUCAAAUAAAAGUGCUGAAACUAUCUGUGAUGCCUGUCAGUAG
rnacentral:rRNA from 1 species